AAUAGAUACCCUGGUAGUCCACGCCGUAAACGAUGGAUGCUAGCUGUUAUGCGUAUCGACCCGUGUAGUAGCGAAGCCAACGCGUUAAGCAUCCCGCCUGGGGAGUACGAACGCAAGUUUAAAACUCAAAGGAAUUGACGGGGACCCGCACAAGCGGUGGAGCGUGUUCUUUAAUUCGAGGCUAAGCGAAGAACCUUACCAGGGCUUGACAUCCUUGGAAUUUCUCCGAAAGGAGAGAGUACUUUAUUGGACCAAGUGACAGGUGCUGCAUGGCCGUCGUCAGCUCGUGUCGUGAGAUGUUUGGUUAAGUCCAUUAACGAGCGCAACCCUUAUGAAUAGUUGUAUUUUUCUAUUCAGACUGCCCCGGUAACGGGGAGAAGGGGGGAUGAUGUCAGGUCAGUAUUGCCCUUACGCCCUGGGCUAGAAACGCGCUACAAUGGCCGGUACAAUGCGCUGCCAACCCGCGAGGGGGAGCAAAUCGCAUCAAAGCCGGUCCCAGUUCGGAUAAGAGGCUGAAACUCGCCUCUUUGAAGCUGGAAUCGCUAGU
rnacentral:rRNA from 1 species